rnacentral:rRNA from 1 species
GAUGAACGCUGGCGGCGUGCUUAACACAUGCAAGUCGAACGGUGAAGGCGGAGCUUGCUCUGCUGGAUCAGUGGCGAACGGGUGAGUAACACGUGAGCAAUCUGCCCCUGACUCUGGGAUAAGCGCUGGAAACGGCGUCUAAUACUGGAUACGAGCUGCGAAGGCAUCUUCAGCAGCUGGAAAGAAGUUCGGUCAGGGAUGAGCUCGCGGCCUAUCAGCUUGUUGGUGAGGUAAUGGCUCACCAAGGCGUCGACGGGUAGCCGGCCUGAGAGGGUGAACGGCCACACUGGGACUGAGACACGGCGCAGACUCCUACGGGAGGCAGCAGUGGGGAAUAUUGCACAAUGGGCGAAAGCCUGAUGCAGCAACGCCGCGUGAGGGACGACGGCCUUCGGGUUGUAAACCUCUUUUAGCAGGGAAGAAGCGAAAGUGACGGUACCUGCAGAAAAAGCGCCGGCUAACUACGUG